CAAACACCAUGAUAGGACUGAUAAAAUUGGAAUGAUAUUGAGAAGAUUAGCAUAGCCCCUAUACAAAGAUGACAUGCACAAAUUGAGAAAUAGUAUCAGAGUGG